GACGAACGCUGGCGGCGUGCUUAACGCAUGCAAGUCGAACGGAAAGGCCCUGCUUUUGUGGGGUGCUCGAGUGGCGAACGGGUGAGUAACACGUGAGUAACCUGCCCUUGACUUUGGGAUAACUUCAGGAAACUGGGGCUAAUACCGGAUAGGAGCUCCUGCUGCAUGGUGGGGGUUGGAAAGUUUCGGCGGUUGGGGAUGGACUCGCGGCUUAUCAGCUUGUUGGUGGGGUAGUGGCUUACCAAGGCUUUGACGGGUAGCCGGCCUGAGAAGGUGACCGGCCACAUUGGGACUGAGAUACGGCCCAGACUCCUACGGGAGGCAGCAGUGGGGAAUAUUGCACAAUGGGCGGAAGCCUGAUGCAGCAACGCCGCGUGCGGGAUGACGGCCUUCGGGUUGUAAACCGCUUUCGCCUGUGACGAAGCGUGAGUGACGGUAAUGGGUAAAGAAGCACCGGCUAACUACGUG
rnacentral:rRNA from 1 species